rnacentral:pre_miRNA from 1 species
ACAAUACUCCCUCCGUCCCAAAAUUCUUGUCUUAAAUUUGUCUAGAUACGGAUGUAUCAAGUCACAUUUUAGUAUUAGAUACAUCCGUAUCUAGACAAGUUUAAGACAAGAAUUUUGGGACGGAGGGAGUACCUU